rnacentral:lncRNA from 1 species
AGAGGCGUUUGAAAGGUUCCUGGGCUUGAUUUCUUAGUCAGAGGCUGUUUUACUUGGUGUUCAACAAGGAAAGCCAGAGUCUAGAUAUUAAAAGGUGAAUUAUUUUCAAAAAUUCAGUUGUAACAAAUAAUUUACUUGAAAUUAUUUCAGGAAAUGGAAGAUAAAGUAACUAGUCCAGAGAAAGCUGAAGAAGCAAAGUUAAAAGCAAGGUAUCCUCAUUUGGGACAAAAGCCUGGUGGUUCUGACUUUUUAAGGAAAAGAUUGCAGAAAGGGCAAAAGUAUUUUGAUUCUGGGGAUUACAACAUGGCAAAAGCAAAGAUGAAGAACAAGCAGCUUCCUGCUGCAGCCCCGGAUAAGACAGAGGUCACUGGUGACCACAUUCCCACUCCACAGGACCUCCCUCAGCGGAAACCAUCCCUGGUUGCUAGCAAGCUGGCUGGCUGAUUAAAAGAGCUGAACUGC